ensembl:lincRNA
GGGUAAAGCAUUGAUAUCAAUAUAUUUGUUCUUGGCAUGGGCUUCACUUGGACUUCUGGUUGUUUUUGUGGACAGUGUAUUCACGUGAUGCUUGGGUCUGAUGAUUAUGAUUAUAAGAGAAUACUAGGUAGACAGUUCUGUCCAACAGUUGACUUAAUCAUGUUAAAGAUAUGCCUAGCUUCAACCUUUGUUCUCUUGCUGGGACACCUGGGCUUACAGUUCACUUUUGUUUGUUCUUGCAGCCUGAUUUCCAGAUAUAUGCAGGUCAAUGGACUGACUCAGCCUGUCCUCCUGCCACACCCCCCUGGGAGCCUUUGUCAUUGGUCAGCACUUUCUUCUGAAGGAGGUGGGCUCACCAUCAGUCUGGGUGUGUGCAGUAGAAAUCAGGACAAUGAUUCUGCCACAGGGGGAAGACCUCUUGCUCACGUAGAAACUGUCCAAUCCUGUGCAAUAUGAAGAAGUGAAAAAAGGCUUCUGAACAAGAGCUUACAACUGUAGGACGAGCUAUGGAGUGGGAACCAGCAGCCAUCUUAUUCAAGUAAAUGAAUUUAGGGUUUCUAUGAACUACUUAGUCCACCUUUUGUCUACGUGAUAUUCUGUCCUGUUAAAAGAAACUUAUGCUUAUUAGUUCCAACAAUGUGCAGGAUCUUGACUUUAAAUCAGAGUCUACCAGGACCUCGUUUCUUUUAUUUCGUAUCUUUAUUAUUUCACAUAACAUUCUCUUGGCUAUUAUAAGAUUCAUAUCCAUAACUUGUAUAUUUAUUUAUAAUUAAAAUUUGGUAUAUUUAGCUGGUUUAUUUAAGUGGAAUUCAUUCCAUUGACAUACUAUAAUAUCCUCCUAAUAUUCUUGUUAUUGAUUUUAGUGUUUCAGAAGUAUUAUUCAUACUGACACCUUACUGGGAAGCAAAUUUAGGUUAUAUCAAUAGAUAUUAUUAUAAUAUAGAAAACAUUAAUAUUUGAUAGUGACAUAAAUAUGACACAAAGGCAAUAAACUCAUUAAUAAACACACACAUGUCAUUAAUAAAACAUUCCAAGAUGGCAACUAAGAAUUUUCAGCUCUUGUUUUUAAAGUUCCCCUUUCAUUUACCAAGUGUAUAUGGAGUGUUGCCCAUUGUUCACAAAAGGUAUUCUCAGUUAAUGACAUUGGUCCUCUUUUAAAGUAAUGCAGAAGUUGGAAAUAAUUAAAAU